UUGGAAGUAAAAAGUCGUAACAAGGUCUCCGUUGGUGAACCAGCGGAGGGAUCAUUACUGAGUUUACGCUCUACAACCCUUUGUGAACAUACCUAUAACUGUUGCUUCGGCGGGUAGGGUCUCCGCGACCCUCCCGGCCUCCCGCCUCCGGGCGGGUCGGCGCCCGCCGGAGGAUAACCAAACUCUGAUUUAACGACGUUUCUUCUGAGUGGUACAAGCAAAUAAUCAAAACUUUUAACAACGGAUCUCUUGGUUCUGGCAUCGAUGAAGAACGCAGCGAAAUGCGAUAAGUAAUGUGAAUUGCAGAAUUCAGUGAAUCAUCGAAUCUUUGAACGCACAUUGCGCCCGCCAGCAUUCUGGCGGGCAUGCCUGUUCGAGCGUCAUUUCAACCCUCAAGCUCUGCUUGGUGUUGGGGCCCUACAGCCGAUGUAGGCCCUCAAAGGUAGUGGCGGACCCUCCCGGAGCCUCCUUUGCGUAGUAACUUUACGUCUCGCACUGGGAUCCGGAGGGACUCUUGCCGUAAAACCCCCCAAUUUUCCAAAGGUUGACCUCGGAUCAGG
rnacentral:rRNA from 1 species